UACGUAGGUGGCAAGCGUUAUCCGGAAUUAUUGGGCGUAAAGCGCGCGCAGGUGGUUCUUUAAGUCUGAUGUGAAAGCCCCCGGCUCAACCGGGGAGGGUCAUUGGAAACUGGGGAACUGAGUAUAGAAGAGGAAAGUGGAAUUCCACGUGUAGCGGUGAAAUGCGUAGAGAUGUGGAGGAACACCAGUGGCGAAGGCGACUUUCUGGUCUAUAACUGACACUGAGGCGCGAAAGCGUGGGGAGCAAACAGG
rnacentral:rRNA from 1 species